AGUGAACCAUGUUUGCAGUGAAAAACCUUUUUUGAUUUGCCUUUUGGCGAAGUAAAAAAGUUUGUAACGAAAAGCACGGCCCGCC
rnacentral:sRNA from 1 species